rnacentral:rRNA from 1 species
AUUGAACGCUGGCGGCAUGCUUUACACAUGCAAGUCGAACGGCAGCGCGGGCUUCGGCCUGGCGGCGAGUGGCGAACGGGUGAGUAAUACAUCGGAACGUGCCCAGUAGUGGGGGAUAGCUCGGCGAAAGCCGGAUUAAUACCGCAUACGACCUGAGGGUGAAAGCGGGGGAUCUUCGGACCUCGCGCUAUUGGAGCGGCCGAUGGCAGAGUAGCUAGUUGGUGGGGUAAAGGCCUACCAAGGCGACGAUCUGUAGCUGGUCUGAGAGGACGACCAGCCACACUGGGAGUGAGACACGGCACAGACUCCGACGGGAGGCAGCAGUGGGGAAUUUUGGACAAUGGGCGAAAGCCUGAUCCAGCAAUGCCGCGUGUGUGAUGAAGGCCUUCGGGUUGUAAAGCACUUUUGGCGGGAACGAAAAGGACUGUGCCAAUACCACGGUUCGAUGACGGUACCCGCAGAAUAAGCACCGGCUAACUACGUG